rnacentral:rRNA from 1 species
GAUGAACGCUGGCGGCGUGCUUAACACAUGCAAGUCGAACGGUGAAGCAGAGCUUGCUCUGUGGAUCAGUGGCGAACGGGUGAGUAACACGUGAGCAACCUGCCCCUGACUCUGGGAUAAGCGCUGGAAACGGCGUCUAAUACUGGAUAUGAGCUGCGACCGCAUGGUCAGCAGUUGGAAAGAUUUUUCGGUCUGGGAUGGGCUCACGGCCUAUCAGCUUGUUGGUGAGGUAAUGGCUCACCAAGGCGUCGACGGGUAGCCGGCCUGAGAGGGUGACCGGCCACACUGGGACUGAGACACGGCCCAGACUCCUACGGGAGGCAGCAGUGGGGAAUAUUGCACAAUGGGCGAAAGCCUGAUGCAGCAACGCCGCGUGAGGGAUGACGGCCUUCGGGUUGUAAACCUCUUUUAGCGGGGAAGAAGCGAAAGCGACGGUACCUGCAGAAAAAGCGCCGGCUAACUACGUG